CCCUACACGUUUAAAAAUUAUACAUUCAAACUUAGGUUAAUACUCUUGUAUACAUUUUCUAAAGUUGAGACACGUAUGACCAAGGCUCUGCUGUUCAAAGAUUAAACAAAACAAUGAUACCUAUUGCUAUGGGAGAGUAUUUUAUUCGUCGUAAUAUUUGAUAUGCUAUGAGUUUUAAAAGUGUUAAUAUUGCAUCAAAGUUAAAACCGUGGUAUCUCAUAUUCGUGGUUUCCACUCGAUUAUCAGGAAAUUGUAGAUAUCCGCUAUCGAAUUGAUAUUUAUCGUAAAAUAUAACCAAGCUGAUUUUAGAUCAAGAGUCAGUCGAAAUCGCUCUCUAUACUCUGAUAGUGCACCCGUAUAAGAGUAGAUAUUCAAAAUAUGUGUAUAUUGGUAUAUCGGAACCGAAAGUGAACCGCAUCCUAAAUGUUGCGCUUGCGUGCCAUUGCAGCAGUCAAUGUAAGAGAGAAUGGUCAAUAUGAGACGGAAGGAACAGAAGCAAAGCUGGUAUACAUGACUGUCCGUUACGUGACAUCCGCCAUGUGAUAUAAAGGUGAACAACACAUUGGGACUUCAGGGGUGCAUUGAAAUUUUGCGGCUGCUGUUGCUACAUCAAGAGUACAUGCGCUUCCAUCUACCGGUAGCACACCACGACAGUUGUUACAUUACCUCUCCCACCGACUACAACAGCAACAACACGAGUGCUAUUUCACCGAGUACAUCAACUGUACCGUAAAGCUAAGUACAUACACACUUGGAUAUAACGUUUCAGCAUAAUGUAUCGCAACUGUUUCAAAAACAGUACUGGAACACUUCGGAUACAGUUUCGAAUCAAACGGGACACAAAUGUUUUAUGUUAAUACACGUUUAAUUAUAAACUUUCGUAACAACCUUCCUUUCUGGAAAGAUUAUGUGCAAGUAUCUAUAUUUGCAAUGACGGUUUUAAAUACAUAUGUCAUGGGCACAAGAUAUACAGUAACUACAUUGUUUUUUAAUUUCAAAAUCAACCCUUUUUAGCAUAAUUAAAUCUGGAACGACGGACCAUAGAGAGAGCCCCAAUUUUAACCCUUAUUACUCCUAUGUCGAAUGUGGCUCGAUAUCACAUUUCUUACACCAACUCCAAUGUCGAGCUAGACUCGACAUUAUACAACGCAAUUUCUAAAAUAAUUAAAAAUGUUUUAAUCUGAAUAUUUUAAUGUUUUAAUAUUGCAAUACAA